CAUUAUUGAAAUAAAUCUGAUGAGUUGCUGCUGGUUCUCUAGGGAGCAUGUGCACACUUGUCAUCUUUAUAUCUCCACCUGUGCACCUUUUGUAGACCUGGAUAUCUCUCUGAGUGCUAGUCACKCAGGUUUGAGGAUUGACNNUGUGUCUCUCUUUACAUUUCCAGGCCUAUGUUCUUCAUAUACCCCAAUGUAUGUCAUAGAAUGUAAUCAACGGCCUUUGUGCCUAUAAACCUAUACAACUUUCAGCAACGGAUCUCUUGGCUCUCGCAUCGAUGAAGAACGCAGCGAAAUGCGAUAAGUAAUGUGAAUUGCAGAAUUCAGUGAAUCAUCGAAUCUUUGAACGCACCUUGCGCUCCUUGGUAUUCCGAGGAGCAUGCCUGUUUGAGUGUCAUUAAUAUAUCAACCUCUUCAGCUUUUGCUUGUUGAGUGUUGGAUGUGGGGGUCUUUUUGCUGGCCUUCUAAGGUCAGCUCCCCUGAAAUGCAUUAGCAGAACAAAUUGUGGAUCGUUCAUUGGUGUGAUAACUAUCUACGCUAUUGACGUGAAGCAGUUCAGCUUCUAACAGUCCAUUGACUUGGACAAAUUUUCAUUAAUGUGACCUCAAAUC
rnacentral:rRNA from 1 species